UCUUCUUCACUUAUUGUUCUUUUAUCUAGAAAACUAAAAACUUGGAACUUGUUCUUCUCUUACCCACACCAUCAUCAACCCCUCUCGACGCUAUCACCUCAACUAUCUAGUUAACCAACCACCACAUUACCACCACUAUCGACCCUCCACUCUCACCAUGUUCAAAUCCAAACCCUCUGACAACUAGUCCACUUACCAUCGCCACCUUAAAGUCAUCCUCACCACACCCUCAACAACAACACAAAAAGAACAAGAAAAAAACUCCAAGAGAAGUGAAAGCCUGCAACAGAGAGAAAGGAAACAAAAUCAAAGAAAGAAGAAAAAAUACAAAGAAAUAAAGAAAGGAACAUAUUCAAUUUGGCGUUGAGGCUAGUUCUAAGGCCUCGGGUCGUCAUCUCGAAAAUCUGAACGAUAGGGAUAUAGAAGAGGUCAAGGAGAACAACAUACCUUGGAAUCGAACUGAGUCAGCAAUCGAAUUUCGAUAUCGGGCAAGGAGAAGUUUGAAUGUCCAAGCAUAGAUUCGUGUAGUUUGGGGAAUUUUUUGGAGAAUCCAACUCCAUAUUCAUGUUCAAAGGGUCAAAAAGAGACUGGGAAAGAGUUUUGGUAUUCGUCGACCUCCAGCGACAGGAGCCGGCACGACGGUCCAACAUCGAUUUCUGGAUUAGUGACUGCUGUGUUUAUGGGUUGCCUUAGAGAAAGGUAGAGAGAAAUAUGAAGAGACAAAGAGACGGGAGAAGAAAAAACUAACGGAAAAAAAGUUCUAGUGGUAUUUAAUUUGAAGAUUAAUGAAAAUUAAAGAGAAAUUUCGAAGGCAGGGGUUAAAAUUUGAAGGAA
rnacentral:lncRNA from 1 species